AUAAGACGUGAAGAUAGAAAACCACAGAGAAAAAGAUUUGGUUAGAAGGAGGGUUGACAUUCAUCCAGAAGUUCAAUUAUUUUUGAACUCCACUCCGCUUCCAUCUUAUAUUUAGGUCGUCUGGUUAUAGCCAAAACAUUUAUCCAAUUAAUAUGUCUUACUCUUGCGUCAUCACUCUGCCGUCCUCUCUUAACGCCAGCAUCUCGGCAGCGCACCGGCCAUGGCAUAGUGGAAAGAACAAGACCAGGCCCCAGGCCAAGAGGAAUGAGCAGCUAUGGCGCUGCGUGGAGGGCUGCGGUGCAUGCUGCAAGCUUGCCAAGGGUCCUUCCUUCGCCACUCCCGAAGAAAUCUUCACGGACCCUUCAGACAUUGAGCUUUACAGAAGCUUAAUGGGCCCAGAUGGAUGGUGUAUACACUAUGACAAAAGCACUCGCAAGUGCUCUAUUUACCCUGGUCUUCACUCAUCAAUCCCGCCAUGUAUUGUUCUACAAAUCUGGGUUCUUAUAUUUCAUGCUUUACAUAUUUUUCUUUCUUUAAAUAGAUCGUCCAUAUUUUUGUCGCGUGGAGCCAGAUGUAUUUCUCUCACUCUAUGGCAUUGGCAAGAAGAAAUUUAACAAAGAGGCUUGCAGGUCAACCCAUACUCAUCAUCUCAAUUCCCUACCAUUUCGACAGUUGACACCACCUUUUCUUGCAGAUCCUGUCGAGACACAAUUAAGGCAAUCUAUGGUUCCCAGUCCAAGGAGUUGGGUAAUUUCAAUCGCUCCUUGAACAACUAGUCGCUACUACAGUGGCUGUUUGGAUGAUAGCACAAUGGUUCCAAAGUGAAAGAUCACAGAAACACUUGUGCUAUCCAUCUAUGAUAAUAAGGUCUUGGUUUAGAUUUGUGAGGAAGUUCUAUAUUAGGCAAAAAAAAGCCCGCCUACCCAUCUACAGCUCGUCAUGCACAAUUUUGUUCAGUUCUAAAUUAGUCGCAUAGCAGCACCAUACAUCAUGUUCUCUCUCUGUUUUCUUUUCCCUCUCUUCUGCGACAAACAAACGUAAAGCUAAGGAGGGAUGCUGCUGGCCAAAAGCGUCGCAGAAGUGCUCAAUGUACUGAUUUCAUGUAUUUAUCCUAAUAUUGUUCAUAGUUUACUAAUUUUCUGUUUUUUUGGACGCACGGUCCCAAUACCUUCACCUUUUGAUACAAUGAUAUAAAUUGAAGAAGGUGAGUUUUCUAAGCAUCUUAGUUCCUGGUGGCGUGAUCCUUGUUUUCUUGGUUUAAAUGCUUUCGAGCAACCUGUUUUGCUUUUUGUUGUUGGGUCAUUGUAUUUCUAGAUUCGGCUUAGUUUAGAGUUUAUCAUGAAUUUAUCAUUGUAUUUCUAGUCUGCCAAGUGUAAUAUUUUCUAUCUUUGUGAUUAAAAUAGAACUUACAUGCCACAGUCGGAUGACAAUCUUCUAGUUAAAAUGCUAUUUGCAGCUGAGCAGUGAGCAACUAAAUGCCAACACCUAUGUUGAUAGAAAAUAGAGGAAUUUAAUUGUAAUAGGAGGAACAGAAAUGGUGAGCGAAAGAGAAACGCCUCCUAUUCCCAUCCACCAAGUUGAAGCUGCUGCCUUGAGCUUAGUGGGUGAAUGAGAAAUUGCUCAAGAUGCUAUUGCUGCCAAAAAGCCUUGCAUUUUUUUUUUGUUGGUUGUUGGGGGUGGGCACGGAUUGUGGUAAAGAUACUCCAGUAGAGCCGCUUCUUUUUCCCCCUCCCUUACAUCCAACGGCAAGUUUUAUUUAGCGCUUCCCGCCUCUAGAGCACUGGCAAUUUGUAAAAUUUCCUGAUUCUGCCUAACCAAGUCUGAGGUUGUGGGUGGUGUGAUAUCCACCAUGACCUCUUCCACUAAUUAUAUGCAAGAACUAACUGUCACAAACGGCUAUUCUGCUCCUUUUGGUCAUAAUUUUGAUUCUGAUGGCAUGUAUGAAGAGCGUCAUCCGAUAUUAGAAGCUAUAAGCUAUCUUUGUUUGGUAUCAGACUCAUACUCCCCUUACGAAGAGGAUGCCUUAUGCGGCAACUCAAUUUCUUCACCAUAUGAGAAAGAUGAGGUCUAUCUUGUAGCUAGCUACUAUGAGCGAGACCAGCUGCCAUACAACAGCUGGAGGAAUUGGGAUGGCGAAUAUGACAGUUGCUUAAGUGGCUAUUUUGAUGAUAACUCUUUCUCCUACGGAGAUGACAAUAGAUUGGAAAAGGCAGAAUGUUGGCUACAAAGUGAUGAACGUGGAGCCAGUUACGGUAGUCAUCAUGACAAUGCAGAAAGCCAUCUUUCUUUUGAUGAUACUGCUUGGUGUGCCGAUGAAUCAUGGUUUGGACGUGUGGGAGAGGAUGAUUUCUAUUACUAUGGAGGGCAAAAUUUCACAUACGCUUGUAUCUACAAGCCGGAUGAAAUGGGGCUUUUUGAAGGUAUUUUCGGUUACUGGCCUUGUUUGCACCAGCAACACCCACAAGCAUAUGGGGAAUAAAAAGUUCACAUAUAGAUGCAUCGGAGAGGAUUCUAUUAUCUUUGAGUCAGAAUAAAAGAUAAAGGUCCGUCAAGGAGGCAGUGUUCAAUAAUACCUCUUUCCUGCAACUAAUCAGUAAAUCCAUCCAGCUUUAAGCAAAGGGGAUCAGAGUUGAAUAUAAACUAAUAAAAGUUUGCCUAAGAAAUGUAAUUCUAGAUAGUAGAUUGUACUAGUAAUCAUUAACCAUUUACUUUUCCAUUGUUCCCCUUUCUGAGCAAAAUUCAAUCUAUGAUGGGUGCAUCCAGUACUCAUUUUCAUAAUGUUUUUCAGCUCUAAAUAACAGUUCAAAUUCAAAAGAUUAUAUCAUGUCUCUAUUGAAUUACCAUAGACUAACAUAAGUUGACUAGCAGAGACGGGAUUUUCUUAACAUUUUUUCUGAUGCAAUACAAACGAGCUCUCUACGGACUGGUAACCACUAGUCUGAUGUAUCCCAGAAACAUGUUCUGCAAGCAACAUGAUAUUUUUUUGUCUGUCUUUUUCAUUUGGCAUAUGUCUACACCCCCAUCCCACUCCUCUACACGUGUGCGCGCGCACACACACACACAUAGCAUUCUCUUUGAUGUUAUAGUCCCUGGUAAAGAUACUCGUUUCUAAAGGCAAACAAGAUUGUUUCUGCUUCAUUAUGACUUUGGAGAAAUGAUUAGGGUAACGUCUCUGUUGAACAUCAUUCGCAUAGCAAUUGCUUAUUUUUUGCUAACCCCUCAAAUGAUCUGUUUUUAACAAGCAAAAGAUCACUCUACACAGAAUUUCAGUAUAACUCCAUCCAAAAAGUGUAUAAAAUUAACAGGCUGUACAGAUGAUAACAAGUUAAUACCAUUCAUCAUAUUACAGUGCCAAGUCCCAGUUCAUCCUCAAUGUCAUCCCCAUCUUCAAACAGCUUCAAAAAUCGAGCUUGUUCUUGCUCCCUUUUCUUCUUUUGCCAGUGCUUGAACACUACCACUAUCCCAAGAAUCAAUACAGUUGAAACCAGAGCACUAAUCAAUAUUACCACAGCAACAUGCAUUCCUUUACUCCCUCUAUUAUGCGAGCCUGAGGCAGAGUUGGAAUCAGCAGCUAGAGGUACGCACUGUGGACACAAGAACGUAGCAUCAAAUUCCUUGUCCUUAAUUCGCCUAUAUUUUCCAUCAGAAUCCACAAAAUCAGAAGGACAAAAUUCCCAUUCAUCAAACACAUCAUCGGAUUUCAACUUGUCUUCCUCGUAGAAUCCACAGCGCUUGCACUUCUUACUUGUAAAUUCCGUUAGAGGCUGCCAAGAUUCUUCGCCUUUGAAAGCAUAGGAGACAUUAACUUCCUUGACAUCGGGCAAAUGGGUCUUGUUCUCUCUUUUACAAUAGAAAUACACGAUUGGCUUUGAAGUUUUCAGCCAUUCGUGAGAAUUGUAAAUUUUAAUUGAAUCAAGCGUCACAACAGCUGAUAUAACAAAACCUGGAACACAGCUCACGAAUAAUAACAGAUGCCAAACAGACAUAGCGAGCUUUACUUUGAUGAGACCUUGACGGCGGCUAUGAGAUUUCUGAUUUCAGUUUCGUGGAGAUGAUUUCGAAUUUGAUUCCGUUCGCGUGCCAAGGACGGAGACGACUGGUUCGCGCUGCGUGUUAUUAACAGGGCUGUUGUAUAUGAUACGCUUAGGUGCGCAAUUCGCAC
rnacentral:misc_RNA from 1 species